rnacentral:rRNA from 1 species
AUUGAACGCUGGCGGCAGGCCUAACACAUGCAAGUCGAACGAGUGGCGGACGGGUGAGUAAUGUCUGGGAAACUGCCUGAUGGAGGGGGAUAACUACUGGAAACGGUAGCUAAUACCGCAUACCAUCAGAUGUGCCCAGAGGGGAUUCGCUAGUUGGUGGGGUAACGGCUCCCCAGGGCGAAGAUCCCUAUCUGGUCUGAGAGGAUUACCAGCCACACUGGAACUUAGCCACGGUCCAGACUCCUACGUGAGGCAGCAGUGGGGAAUAUUUCACAAUGGGCGCAAGCCUGAUGCAGCCAUGCCGCGUGUAUGAAGAAGGCCUGCGGGUUGUAAAGUACUUUCAGCGGGGAGGCGUUACCCGAAGAAGAAGCACCGGCUAACUCCGUGCCAGCAGCCGCGGUAAUUG